rnacentral:rRNA from 1 species
UACGGGGGGGCAAGCGUUGUUCGGAAUUACUGGGCGUAAAGGGCGCGUAGGCGGCCAUCUAAGUCAGACGUGAAAUCCCUCGGCUCAACCGAGGAACUGCGUCUGAUACUGGAAGGCUUGAAUCCGGGAGAGGGAUGUGGAAUUCCAGGUGUAGCGGUGAAAUGCGUAGAUAUCUGGAGGAACACCGGUGGCGAAGGCGACAUCCUGGACCGGUAUUGACGCUGAGGCGCGAAAGCCAGGGGAGCAAACGGG